rnacentral:rRNA from 1 species
UUGUGAAGCAAGAGCUGAAGAAACACUGUUUUAUGUCUGAUCUUGGAAGCUAAGCAGGGUCCGUCCUGGUUAGUACUUGGAUGGGAGACCACCUAGGAAUACCAGGUGCUGCAGGCG